rnacentral:rRNA from 1 species
UACGAAGGAGGCUAGCGUUGUUCGGAAUUACUGGGCGUAAAGCGCGCGCAGGCGGCUAUCCAAGUCAGUGGUGAAAGCCCGGAGCUCAACUCCGGAACUGCCAUUGAAACUGUUUAGCUUGAGGAUGAGAGAGGUGAGUGGAAUUCCCAGUGUAGAGGUGAAAUUCGUAGAUAUUGGGAAGAACACCGGUGGCGAAGGCGGCUCACUGGUUCAUUACUGACGCUCAGGCGCGAUAGCGUGGGGAUCAAACAGG